UGCCGGAUAGUGUAAACCUUGGUUUCAAACGACCCCCAUGCAUAGAGAGAGAGAGAGCGAGAGAGUCUUGAGCGCAGAUGCAUGGGCAUUUUUGAACACACACCCCACCCCUUUUUCUCUGUUUUUGAAACACACACACAUCCACUACAGCACACGCAUGCACACACACGCGCGCAUUCCGCAAGUUUUUUUUUCUUUUCUCAGGGACAGACUGCGCUAAGAGUGAACAAACUAACGAGUUCCUUACAUGGUCUUUUACGAUGCCUUUCUUACAGAUCCAGAGGUCUGGUUAGCCCUGACCAUUAUCCGAUCGCUAAGACGCUUGCACACUCCCUCAAAGCUCCGUAAAUUUUCCCUCCAUGGGUAGAUAAUCCGUCCGGCAUGUAAAUCCUAGGUUAUGCCCACAGCUUUAAUGAAUAAGAUGGGUAGAAAAAUAAUCUGUUUAAGUCAUAAGUAAAGGCCUUUCAUAAAGAGGCUGUCAUGAUUGACUGUGGCCCAUAUUUAACACGUAUUGCUUGUUACCUAAGACUAUUGUUGUACAUUGAAUAUCCACUAGCAGAUUUGUGUAGCAUGCAUCUCCACUAUAUCUGUCAUGUUACCGUGGUCUUUUUAAAAGUCAAUAAACAUAUGUGUAAAAUGUACACUUUUGUUUCACUGUAGAUUUGUUUAAGCCCACCUAGAAACACCUGAUUUAUCCCACAGCAUUAAUGAAUAAGCUGUGUAGAAAAUGAAUCUGUUUAAGUCAUAAGUAAAGGCCUUUCCUAAAGAGGCUGUCAUGAUUGACUGUGGCCCCAUAUUUAACACGUAUUGCUUGUUACAGAAGACCCCUGUUGUACAUUGAAUAUCCACUAGCAGAUUUGUGUAGCAUGCAUCUCCACUAUAUCUGUCAUGUUACUGUGGUCUUUUUAAAAGUCAAUAAACAUAUGUGUAAAAUGUA